AUUGAACGCUGGCGGAAUGCUUUACACAUGCAAGUCGAACGGCAGCACGGACUUCGGUCUGGUGGCGAGUGGCGAACGGGUGAGUAAUGUAUCGGAACGUGCCCAGUCGUGGGGGAUAACGUAGUGAAAAUUACGCUAAUACCGCAUACGAUCUAUGGAUGAAAGCGGGGGAUCGCAAGACCUCGCGCGAUUGGAGCGGCCGAUAUCAGAUUGGGUAGUUGGUGGGGUAAAGGCCCACCAAGCCAACGAUCUGUAACUGGUCUGAGAGGACGACCAGCCACACUGGAACUGAGACACGGUCCAGACUCCUACGGGAGGCAGCAGUGGGGAAUUUUGGACAAUGGGCGAAAGCCUGAUCCAGCCAUUCCGCGUGCAGGAUGAAGGCCCUCGGGUUGUAAACUGCUUUUGUACAGAACGAAAAGGUUUCCACUAAUACUAGGAGCUCAUGACGGUACUGUAAGAAUAAGCACCGGCUAACUACGUGCCAGCAGCCGCAGUAA
rnacentral:rRNA from 1 species